GAUGAACGCUAGCUACAGGCUUAACACAUGCAAGUCGAGGGGAAACGAUAGAGAAAGCUUGCUUUUUCUAGGCGUCGACCGGCGCACGGGUGAGUAACGCGUAUCCAACCUGCCCAUCACUUGGGGAUAACCUUGCGAAAGUAAGACUAAUACCCAAUGAUAUCUCUAGAAGACAUCUGAAAGAGAUUAAAGAUUUAUCGGUGAUGGAUGGGGAUGCGUCUGAUUAGCUUGUUGGCGGGGUAACGGCCCACCAAGGCGACGAUCAGUAGGGGUUCUGAGAGGAAGGUCCCCCACAUUGGAACUGAGACACGGUCCAAACUCCUACGGGAGGCAGCAGUGAGGAAUAUUGGUCAAUGGUCGGCAGACUGAACCAGCCAAGUCGCGUGAGGGAAGACGGCCCUACGGGGUUGUAAACCUCUUUUGUCGGAGAGUAAAGUACGCUACGUGUAGUGUAUUGCAAGUAUCCGAAGAAAAAGCAUCGGCUAACUCCGUG
rnacentral:rRNA from 1 species